AUCGCUUCUCGGCCUUUUGGCUAAGAUCAAGUGUAGUAUCUGUUCUUAUCAGUUUCAGAUCAGAUUACAGCGCUUGUGACGAAGCGGGGAGCUUGGCGAAAGCGGAGAACCUGU
ensembl:snRNA U2 U2 spliceosomal RNA